rnacentral:rRNA from 1 species
CCUACGGGGUGCAGCAGUGAGGAAUAUUGGUCAAUGGGCGGAAGCCUGAACCAGCCAAGUAGCGUGCAGGAUGACGGCCCUACGGGUUGUCAACUGCUUUUAUACGGGUAUAACGCGCCUUACGUGUAGGGCUUUGCAUGUACCGUAUGAAUAAGGACCGGCUAAUUCCGUGCCAGCAGCCGCGGUAAUACGGAAGUGCCGGGCGUUAGCCGGAUUUAUUGGGUUUAAAGGGAGCGUAGGCCGCAUGUCAAACGUUCUUGUAAAUGUACGGGCUCAACCCGGGCCUUGAAGCGCGAACUGGCGUGCGUGAGUCCGCGGAAAGCAGGCGGAAUGCGGCGUGUAGCGGUGAAAUGCUUAGAUAUGACGAAGAACCCCGAUUGCGAAGGCAGCUUGCUGCAGCGGAACUGACGCUGAGGCUCGAAAGCGCGGGUAUCGAACAGGAUUAGAUACCCGAGUAGUC